UGAUGGGGCUGGUUCAGAUGGUAGACCAACACCCAGAUUUGCUGCAUAUGGGGCAACCAAAAGGAGCGUGGUGCAUUUGACAAAAUCAUUACAGGCUGAACUGCAGAUGCAAGAUGUUAAAAAUGUUGUAGUGCAUAAUCUGUCGGUAUGUAUUGAUAUUGUCAUUUUU